rnacentral:lncRNA from 1 species
GCUAAUAGGCGGUGAUGUGUUUCCCCGAAAUGCACGGUGGUGAGGGCGUGUAUGUGGUGUGAAACGGUGCAAGCUGAGAGGUUAAUCGCCCUAGGUAGGCAAAAGUGUAUAGGAACCGGGAGGAGGCAGGAGGAUGGGGGAGGUAGCGGGUAGGGGGCAGUGGGAGAGGGAAGGGAGCUGGAAGGUACGGCAGUGGGGACUAGGAAACCGGAUUUGAGGGGGAUUGGAUGGGAGAAGGGGAGUAAUGUGGUCAGUAGGAGUUAGCAAGUUAGAACGCUUGGGACUAGCAUGGUAUAAGGAGAGAUGGGAGCAUGCGGUUUGGGAGGGGGAAUUGGGAGGCCGUUGGUAGGGGAGGGUGGAGUUGCCGAUGUUGGUGGAGCAGGGAGGGGAUAUGUAUGUGAGUGUGGCCUAGCAAGGCCGAGAGGGGUAGAAGGGUGCAUGAGUCACGGAUGGUGGUGACGGGAGGUGGAAAUGUUGUGUGUGUGCGUGGCCCAACGAGGUCGAGAGAUGGAGGAGUGAGUAUGAGUCGCCGAUGUUGGUGACGCGAGACGAUGGUAUUUGUGUGUGUGUGUGUGGCCUCUUUAGGUCGAGAGGUGGAGGAUUGAGCAUGAGUCGCCGAUGUUUGUGACGCGAGACGAUGGUAUUUGUGUGUGUGUGUGGCCUCUUUAGGUCGAGAGGUGGAGGAUUGAGCAUGAGUCGCCGAUGUUGGUGACGCGAGACGAUGGUAUUUGUGUGUGAGUGUGGCCUCUUUAGGUCGAGAGGUGGAGGAUUGAGCAUGAGUCGCCGAUGUUGGUGACGCGAGACGAUGGUAUUUGUGUGCGUGUGUGGCCUCUUUAGGUCGAGAGGUGGAGGAUUGAGCAUGAGUCGCCGAUGUUGGUGACGCGAGACGAUAGUAUUUGUGUGUGUGUGUGGCCUCUUUAGGUCGAGAGGUGGAGGAUUGAGCAUGAGUCGCCGAUGUUGGUGACGCGAGGCGAUGGUAUUCGUGUGUGUGUGUGGCCUCUUUGGGUCGAGAGGUGGAGGAGUGAGUGUGAGUCGCCGAUGUUGGUGACGCGGAAUAAUGGUGUGUGGGUGGGUGCGUGGCCUAUUAGGUCGAGAGGUGGAGAUAUGGGUAUGAGUCGCCGAUAUUGGUGACGUGGAAUGAAGGUGGUUGGUCGGGGUUUGCAGCGAUAACUUGGUGGAGUAAGAACGGAAUUGGGAUCCGAGCGGCUGGUAACGGAGCCCCGUCGGUAGUGCCAUAGGGCACAAGUUUUGUUUGUGAUUUAAAGUAGUUUGAAAGGAUGGUUUAGUCUGGAUAUUGAAUAUCUAGGAAUGUUUGAUAUUGUAUUACUAUGUGCUGUAGAGGUGGAGAUGUAUGUACAAUUGAUUUGGAACAUGGAAGGUGGACCAAUUUCUCUUGUGCAUGGUUGGAAUAAUAUGGAUUUCGGUAUUGUGUUGUAUGAGUGCUUUAUCGUACACCGUUAAGAAAAAAAAAACGGGGUGUUACAGUUGGUAUCAGAGCAAAACUAAGUAUACCUACUAACUGGUAUAACUAUCCUGCAG